ACUGUUGUGUGGCGGACAGGGGUGUGUAUCCCCCCGCCGCCGUUUCGCCGACGGGGUGUUGGACAGGUUUCAAGGGC
rnacentral:sRNA from 10 species